GACGAACGCUGGCGGCGCGCUUAACACAUGCAAGUCGAGCGAAGCGGCGGACGGGUGAGUAACACGUGAGUAACCUGCCUUAGACAUUGGGAUAGCCUCGGGAAACCGGGAUUAAUACCAAAUGGUCUAAGAUGGACUCGGGUCCCAUUAGCUAGUUGGUGAGGUAACGGCCCACCACGGCGACGAUGGGUAGCCGGCCUGAGAGGGGGAAUGGCGACAGUGGAACGGAGAAACGGUCCAAACGCUACGGGAUGCAGCAGUGGGGAAUAUGGCACAAUGGAGGGAACUCUGAUGCAGCGACGCCGCGGGAACGAAGAAUGCUUUCGAGGCGUAAAGUUCUUUUAUAUGGGAAGCGGUACCAUAAGAAAAAGCCCCGGCUAACUACGUGCCAGCAGCCGCGGUAAUUC
rnacentral:rRNA from 1 species